UACGUAGGGUGCGAGCGUUAAUCGGAAUUACUGGGCGUAAAGCGUGCGCAGGCGGUUGUGCAAGACAGAUGUGAAAUCCCCGGGCUUAACCUGGGAACUGCAUUUGUGACUGCACAGCUAGAGUACGGCAGAGGGGGAUGGAAUUCCGCGUGUAGCAGUGAAAUGCGUAGAUAUGCGGAGGAACACCGAUGGCGAAGGCAGUCCCCUGGGCCUGUACUGACGCUCAUGCACGAAAGCGUGGGGGAGCAAACAGG
rnacentral:rRNA from 1 species